UUCGUAUUGCCAUUUCUUCGGUCACGAG
rnacentral:sRNA from 1 species